AAGUCGUAACAAGGUUUCCGUAGGUGAACCUGCGGAAGGAUCAUUAACACUUUUUUCCCCAAAAAAAAAGAGGAACGAAAAAGAAAAAGAGAAACUUCUCUUUUGGGUUGUUUCUUCUUUAUUUUUUUCCUUCUCUUUUAACACUCCAAACAAAAUGCGAACAUGUUGGUGGGAUUUUCAUCAUCUCGAUGAUUUUCCCGCACUUUUUCCUCUCCAUUUUUUUCUUUACACCACAUGAACUUUUUUUUAAGACUGAACAAAAUUUUUUUUUUUUCAUUCCAUUAUUGAAAUGAAAAAAAGAAAUAUAUACAUAUAAUGAUAAAAAACAACUCUUAGCAACGGAUAUCUUGGUUCUC
rnacentral:misc_RNA from 1 species